GACGAACGCUGGCGGCGUGCUUAACACAUGCAAGUCGAACGGAAAGGCCCUGCUUUUGUGGGGUGCUCGAGUGGCGAACGGGUGAGUAACACGUGAGUAACCUGCCCUUGACUUUGGGAUAACUUCAGGAAACUGGGGCUAAUACCGGAUAGGAGCUCCUGCUGCAUGGUGGGGGUGGGCAAGUUCGGGCGGUGGGGGAUGGACUCGCGGCUGUUCGGCUUGUUGGUGGGGCAGUGGCUUCCCAAGGUUUUGACGGGUAGCCGGCCUGGGAGGGUGACCGGCCACAUUGGGACUGAGAUACGGCCCAGACUGCUACGGGGGGCAGCGGUGGGGAAUAUGGCACAAUGGGCGGAAGCCCGAUGCAGCAACGCCGCGUGCGGGAUCACGGCCUUCGGGUUGUAAACCGCUUUCGCCUGUGACGAAGCGUGAGUGACGGUAAUGUGUAAAGAAGCACCGGCUAACUACGUG
rnacentral:rRNA from 1 species